rnacentral:lncRNA from 1 species
GCCUCCUCUUAGGGAAGAGAUUAAAGGAAGCUGGGGAAGCAGCUCACCUAGUUUGCCUACUGAGUGGCUGUGCCUGCUGUACGCUGUUGGGGCUGCCCAGCAGCACCCUCCUCACUUGUCUUGUAGCACUGGGCACACUGUUCCACAAGCGUCACCUUCCUCAACGUGGAGCCACUGCAAAUGGAAGGGUAUGGCACUCCCUGCAGCUUUCCAAAUAAGGAGCUUUCUGAUACAAGAGAUCUCUCAGGGCAGCCUUAGGAGCGCUAGAUGAUACUACAAGACCCUUGAUUAGCAUCUUAAAGACCACAGGUAACAGGCUGAAGAAGUAGG